rnacentral:rRNA from 1 species
GGGGAACCGUAGCCCCACUAGUCUGGGAUACCACUUGGAAACAAGGUGCUAAUACCGGAUAAGAAAGACGGAUCGCAUGAUCAGCUUUUAAAAGGCGGCGUAAGCUGUCGCUAUGGGAUGCCCGCGUGCAUUAGCUAGUUGGUAAGGUAAAGGCUUACCAAGGCGAUGAUGCAUAGCCGAGUUGAGAGACUGAUCGGCCACAUUGGGACUGAGACACGGCCCAAACUCCUACGGGAGGCAGCAGCU